AGCGUAGGCGGUCGGGCAAGUCAGAUGUGAAAUCCCGGGGCUCAACCCCGGAACUGCAUCCGAUACUGCCCGACUUGAACAAUGGAGGGGUAGCCGGGAUUCUCGGUGUAGCAGUGAAAUGCGUGGAUAUCGAGAGGAACACUCGUGGCGAAGGCGGGCUACUGGACAUUUGUUGACGCUGAGGCUCGAAGGCCGGGGUAGCGAAAG
rnacentral:rRNA from 1 species